rnacentral:rRNA from 3 species
UCUGGUGCCGAUGCGCUCAGGGGAAACACCCGUACCCAUCCCGAACACGAUGGUUAAGACUUGAGCGGCCGAUGGUACUAUGCUGGAGACGGCAUGGGAGAGCAGGUGGGUGCCAGAU